GGGAAGAGCUGGCCUGUGUGUCUUUCUCCAUCCACCCCCCCUUGCCGGAGCGUUGGUUCGCGCCUCUCGAGGCACGCUGGGAGCAGCAGGGGCCGCUGGUCUCUCUCUCGGCGCGCGUGGUGGCGGUUGAUGUGUGGGGUGGCACGCGCUCGCGAUGAAAGCAAUGGAAGUCUGUCGAUGGCCUAAGCAAGCACCAACAUGACCAGAAGAUGCCCCAAGAGUAUGAGUUGUAGUGUGUUUUGCUGGAAGUUAGAAGCUUACAGACAUAGCCCUCUCUGGUGAAAGCCUCUGAGCGUGCGAAGGGCAUGUAGGAAAAAGUUACACAAAAUGCUGAUUGCCCAGCUGUCCUGCAGCUUCCUUCAUGAGGAAGAAUUGUUAGAACCAGCCUGAGACCAGUGGCAGUCUAUGCAAGACUACUCCAUAAGAAACAAAAACCUGUUAAAAAGAUGGAAUGUUAAGAGUGCAUGUAGUAACACAAGGUGCUUUUAACUGUAUUGGGGCAGUGUCUGGUAAUAUUUAUGUAGCCAAAAAAAUAAAGAUUUAUAUUUCUGUUCUCAGAAUUUCUAUCCUUCCCAAGCUAUAAUAGCAGUUUGACAGUUCUGACUUCCUUGACAUUGUGUUUGGGAUACCAGUUCACCCCUUUGGACUAAAUAAAACCUAGGAGCUAUUAAGUAGAGGGGAAAUGAUCACUGAAACCAUGGUCUUCUGUAGUACUUGGGAGAUUGGGUUAGCUGAGAUUGUAUUGUGGUGAGGAACAGUAGAAAUUAAAGUUCAGCAAGCCUGGGUUUAAAAAUAGCAGGAAAGGUGUUUCUCCAACAUGGAAAACUGCAAGCUUAGUUUUUUAUUACCUUGAUCAGCUGUAUAAUAUGGUACUGCAACUAAACUUGAAGUACAGUGAAAUACUCCAGGUAUAACAACUAGAAUUCCUGCUUUUUUUUUUGGGAAGGCUUCUCAUAAAUUAAUUUUAUCAGAAGAGCAAAUGCUGAAAUUACGUAUCUUGCAACGUCUUUUUUUUUUUUU